CAAUUUUUCUUCCUUGGGAGACACAAAAGGACUUUUUAAAGGUCGUCUAUUAAUUUUUAACUUCAAACGAUGCGAACGAGACCCUCGUUUAACAUCAUUCUGUCUUAUUAGAUCGACGAAAUCCACAAGCGACAGUCAGUGCAAGUCGUCUCGAAGACCGAAGAAAGCACGUAUGAGUCGUUCACGGUUCAAGGCCAUAUUUGCUUUCUUCAACAUGAAGGGUAUAAGGGAUUGCGAUAGCAGAGUGGACAGCGAGUGUGCCAAACGAUAGUAAUACCAGGAGUGUCAUCACACAAAGUUGAUACUUGGCAACACGAUUUACUGAUACUUUGAAAAUAAAAUAGAAUCGAGAAUAUGGAUUAUAUUAAAGACACAAAAAGUAGUUGGACUUGGUAACGAAAACGAAGAAUGCUACAUAAAAGAUCGGAGAAAUUGAAAUGUCAUUGUCCCUGACUGCCGUGCGAUUAGAACUGACAACCAAUUCACCUAUUUCGUUUCUGUUCGACUUGGUUACUCGUUGAAACGGUUAAUCGGAAAAUCUUUCCAAUUUCUUCGUGAAAUCGUGUAAAG
rnacentral:misc_RNA from 1 species